rnacentral:pre_miRNA from 1 species
UCUGAGGGAUGAGCAUAGGAAGUGGCUUCUUGAGAUAAAAUCUACUCCUGGUGAGGAUACUGUGAA